CCUAAGGGGUGCAGCAGUGGGGAAUAUUGGACAAUGGGCGAAAGCCUGAUCCAGCCAUGCCGCGUGUGUGAAGAAGGCCUUCGGGUUGUAAAGCACUUUCAGUGGGGAAGAAAGCCUUGGGGCUAAUACCCUCGAGGAAGGACAUCACCCACAGAAGAAGCACCGGCUAACUCCGUGCCAGCAGCCGCGGUAAUACGGAGGGUGCGAGCGUUAAUCGGAAUUACUGGGCGUAAAGCGCGCGUAGGCGGUCUGAUAAGCCGGUUGUGAAAGCCCCGGGCUCAACCUGGGAACGGCAUCCGGAACUGUCAGGCUAGAGUGCAGGAGAGGAAGGUAGAAUUCCCGGUGUAGCGGUGAAAUGCGUAGAGAUCGGGAGGAAUACCAGUGGCGAAGGCGGCCUUCUGGACUGACACUGACGCUGAGGUGCGAAAGCGUGGGUAGCAAACAGGAUUAGAUACCCUAGUAGUC
rnacentral:rRNA from 1 species